GUGCCUUUGAUUUUAUGUCAAUAAACUUUUUCUAAACAUCUGUUCUUAUCAGCUUAAUAUCUGAUACGGAUCUAAUUGGUCCAGGAUAUUAAACUUAUUUUUGUAAGUGGUGUUCCUUCAAAGCUUGCUUCGAGGCCGCCAGGGUUGGUCCGGUAUUGCACCACUUCCGGAAGUGACCCGUUCCCG
rnacentral:snRNA from 1 species